CCCUGCCUCCACCAGUUCCCAGGGCUGGUGCCCUUGCGGAGCCCAGCGGCUGGCUUCCUGAUCUUGCAGGAGGACCAGCAGUUCCUGGGCGGCUAUUUCUGGAGGGUAGAUUCGGAAGUGCCUUGAAGGCUCAGCCUGGAGAGUUUCUUCAUACAGGCUCUGUGUCCCCUAAUAAGUUUACACUGGCCGGAGUGGAUUCUGUUCGCCGCCACUCAGCGAUAAUGGGUACACAGGGAGAAGGAGAUGCGGAGGCGGGCAGAAACAGAAAGUGAUUCAGAGAGGUUGCCGGAUAAAAUCCAGGAUGCCCAGCUACCUUUGGAUUUUAGAUAAGCAACAGCUAAUAUUUAGUUUGGAGGGGUCUCUACAAGUGACCACCGUGUGCUGAGCAUCUCUUCUGUGUCAGGUACUGAUGGGGUGAUGCGCUCGUGGAAUCCUUCUGGAAUAUUCCAGAAGGAAGACCCCCGGGCCACGACCCACCAAAGAGGGGUGCGAGUGGAGAAGGAGUGUCAGUGACUGGCCAUGGCCCAGUACAGGAAGUGCAUGCUCCAUCCCAGUGACGUCACGGGAAAUACCCUGGAGAUCCCACAGGAAGUACUUGCCCCCAUGAUAUCCCUGAAGUAGCCUUCAAGGAAGGCUCACUGAGACAUCAUAGGAAGUACCUGUCUCUUCUAUCAUCACAGGAAGUGACCUCUGGGGAACUGCUUCCCGUGACAUCAUAAGGAGUGCCAGAAGCACCCCAGAAAGUACUUGACUCAGUGACAUCCCAACAGAGACCUUCAUUCCCAUCACUCUAAGUAAAACCACCGAAGAUGCCACCGGAAGUUGUUCCAGCCCGUCGCAAGAGUCAUGCCCACAGGACUGGACCAAUCCCAGAGCCGGCCUCAUUCCCAGCAGGCACUGCACACCGCUCCCCCACCACAACAACCUGACAACAGAACAGUGAACAGUCCCACCUAGAAGGGGCAAUUCCAAGAGGGGUAGAGCCGCUGAGAAGAUCUGGGAACUCUGGGGUCCCUGCUCCGAAUACCCCAUUUCAGCUCAGAUUCCUCGGCUACCUCUACUCCCAUCCCUUCCUUCAGAUCUGGAACCGAAAGCAGGAGAGGUGGGGUGUUGUUUUGGGGAGGCCCCUCAUUCCAGGUGGCCCAGAGGCUCCCUCCCCUCCUCCCAUAUGGAAACAAAAACUUCUAAAGGUGAGGGGGGGGGGGCGGAAA